AAGGAGACUAUAUAAGGCCCAGAUUGUAUCUAACGACCCAGAACUAUCGAGAAGGUUUUAGAACGCUCGACCCGUUUUGGCGACCCGGCGAUCGGCGACGAUGGCCCUACCGGAACUCCCUUGUCCGACGACUUCAUGGCGGCACACCGGUCACGUUCGACGCGUCUUGUAGUCAUGGUUCCACCUGUGGUCAUGGAUCGUCCAUGCAUGGAGCGAGGAGAGAUAAUCGAAGCCGGAAAGCUUCAAGUCUUCUGGCGGUUUCGAAGCUUUUUCCGGCGAUCAUCGGCAAUGCAAGAGGUUUCGGAUACAGCCGCUGUUACGAUUUCUGGCAGCAGUUCUGGAGUCUCUUGCCUCUUCUCCGACGUUCUCAACACUGUUGCACCUGGUCAAGCUUAAUCCAUUGAAUGGAUGGAUUGAUUGAUUGAUUUGAAAGAAUUGGAAUAGGUGAAGUUUUGGAGAUGAUGAACAACGAGGGAACUUUCCUCGGGUUGCCGUGUUCUUGGUCGGAGAAUUGCUAAGGGGAGAGAAGAAUCGUUGAGACAGUAGAGAAGGAAAGGAUGUUGGCGAAGGAAGAGUGCAUUGAGUUCGACAGAACAGAAGGAAUGGUGGUGUAAAACUCAUAAAAGCACAAGGAAAAUUUUGGGAGUUCAUUAAAUUUCAUUAAGUCUCCGCAUUCUUGGGUUGAUCCCUGCAGAAGCAGAAUUCCAAAGCUCCUCAAAGUAGCUUUUCUAUUUCCGUUGUUUUGAGAAUCGCUUCUGACCAAAAGCAGUCUUUGGAAGGUUUACCAAACAUCUCAAAAGCAGUUCUAAAAGCAUUCCCAAACUAAGCUUAAGGCCCAGUUUGGGAUUGCUUUUGAGCCCAAAAGUGCUUUUACAAUUUAGUAGGGGUGUUUGGUAAAGUACAGAAAUUGCUUUUGGGGUGGAAGCGCUUCCGGUGGCAGCGAAAAAUGAGAAGCAGCACUGAGAGUGCUUUUCAUUUUUGCUUCAGCGAAAACCAUCUCGAGGAAGCGGUACAAUUAAAUGAUUUUUCUAUAAGAGAGUUUCUAUUGGGACCUCCAAA